UGUAAAUACAAAAUAAAAUGAAUUAAUAAUUGUCGAAUACAAAAUGUGUUGUGUGAUAAUAAAGCUACUAGUCCUAAUAAAGACAAACAGCCCGGGGAAAAUUUACCGUUUUAUGUUUGGGUGGCAGUUGCAGAGGACAGAUGAUUGCAAUCAAUAAAGUUCAUUGUGAAACCCUUUAAUGCGACUUUUACGCAUGUAGCACUGUGGCGCAGUGAAAAGUGUCGCAAGAACGAGCAAAAUCCUCUGGUGUCCGGUUAUCCCUACAAAAUUUUACAAAACAAGGGAUUGUAAGAAAUGAUGGAUAAAGCUUUCAGGACAAUUAUGGCCACAUAUGACCAGCGACUCACUUAUCCAGACUAGAUGCUGCAAGUAACCUCGUAUGUGGAGAAAGCGAUAAGAUUUAGGAGCAUUUUCUUCGUGAUACCACAGGAAAAGGAGAAGGAAGAUGCCUUUAAUUCCUAAACGCGAAACAAGCAGAUUUAAGGCAAGGAUGUUAGAGAUAUGUAAAAAACAUAUAAAGCUUUCAGGACAACUAUGGGCACAUAUGACUAGCGACUCACUUUUCCAGAGUAGAUACUGCAAAUAACAGCAUAUGUGGAAAAACGAUAAGAUUCCGGAGCAUUUCCAUUGCGAUACCAUAGAAAUAGGAGUAGGAAUAUGCCUUUAACUAGUAAACGCUAAACAAGCAGAUUUGAGGCAACUCAAUUGAAUUCAUUUUCAUCACUGAUGAUAUCUCACAUUUGCUGCUUUUUCUUGGCGUUUGAGUGGAUAAGUGUGCGUUAGACAAUGUUUCUAAUUAAAAAAAUAGUUUUUUUACAUUCAAUAAAUUUGUUAGUUAUUUAUUUUAGUGAUAGUAUUAUAUUAGUUUUUAAUUUUGAUUUUCGUAUUAUAAAACCUGAAAAUGU
rnacentral:sRNA from 1 species